UACGGGGGGGGCAAGCGUUGUUCGGAAUUACUGGGCGUAAAGGGCUCGUAGGCGGCCAACUAAGUCAGACGUGAAAUCCCUCGGCUUAACCGGGGAACUGCGUCUGACACUGGAUGGCUAGAGGUUGGGAGAGGGAUGCGGAAUUCCAGGUGUAGCGGUGAAAUGCGUAGAUAUGACAUAGAACACCCAUUGCGAAGGCAGCUAACUACGCGAUUAUUGACGCUGAUGCACGAAAGCGUGGGGAUCAAACAGG
rnacentral:rRNA from 1 species